UUUAAGAGAGGAAUACCGACGCUUUCCUUCCAUGAAAGAACAGAGUGGGGCAGCGUCCAAUCCACCACAGUUGUGUCCGUCUCUCUUCUUCUAUAUAACCACCAACCAUAGCGUUCCUUUUCUCUCAAUUCCUUGUCAUCUCCAAAUACACAUUGCUAAGUUAUCUCCAUAGACAACAGUUUCUCGGUUUUCCAUCAAUCACUGUGACCAUGUCCUUCUCUAACUACCUUCACCUACCAUCCCGAUCCAACAGAAGAAAGGGUCACGGAAAGAAUGGUUUUCGGAGAAGGUGCUUGUCCAUGGCAAAGCAGCAAAAGACCCGUUUUUACAUCCUUGGACGGUGCAUCUCCAUGCUUCUGUGCUGGCAUGACCAUGCUAUACGUGAUUGAUUCCUCUUAUGCUACCCAACAAUCAAAGUCAUUAUAUGCUUGGCUCGCUGUCAAAGCAGGAUGAAUACGGAGGCAUGGCCGCCACAAAGCAAAGCAGCAGCAAGUCGAUCGCUUUUGGGACUUUCAGCUCAAAGACGACAGAAACACAGCACUUGGGUGAAACAAACUGAAGGCCCAGCCAGCCCUGGAUCUCUUAUUCAAGCGGCUUGAUUUUCAAUCUACUUAAGAUGGAUGAUGCCUCAGAAAAAUCAACGCAACAGUUCUGCAGGGAUUAAUUAAUGUCAACAGUUCUGCAGGAGACGUCUCUCACUCUCUGAAAUUGUUUCCUCCUGUGGUCUUUUUGUUCGUCAGCGCUUGAAGGGAUAGGAAAAAUCAAAUUUCUCUUUCUUUUAUUAAAUUUUGUAGUGCACAGCAACCCUCGUGUUGCUUUCCUUCACACACGCACGUCUGUAUAAUUAGUGCAUCGUGAUUGGUAUCGCAGCAUCGAGUUAGGCAUCAAUGCUGAAUACUUUUUCUGAACUCCCUGUACAUAGAAAUUAAAAUAGAUACUGUAAUAAAAUACUGUGGCAUUCUUUUACCAUAGUUAAACGUGGAAUUCGAAGCGGUUUACAACUUUCCCUCACCGGAAGGGUCAUUGGCUAUUCUUAAAUACAAAUGCUAUUUUCGGGAACUUGAUUUGAGCUUCUAAAUAUCAUUAAAAACCCAAAAAAAAUAAUAUUCUCAGCCUGUUUGUUUUGAGAUUUCUCUGUCGAAAACAAUUAUUUAGAUAUACUAAAAUAAAUUAUUUUUUGUUGAUGGUUUUGAAUGAUGGUAAUAUGUGGAAAAAGUUGUGAUAUUGAUGAUGAAAAUGGUGACGGGGGGUAGUUUAAUGACUUUUUCUUUAUUUUACUCGGAACAUCUUGAUUUGUAGGGGUAGGUAUUCGGGUUUUUUUUAGUUUCCAACAUUAAAGUUUAAAUCUUGUUCAACCGAACCCACUAAAAGCAUAAUCGAUUCUGAACAAAAUUUAUGUUUGGUAUUUCGAUUUUGGUUUUUGCCAAUUUUUUUCAAUUUCUUUGGAAUUUCUGGUGAGCUGCUUCAUGCUGGCUUUGGGAAAGAGAUGGCAGCUCUGUGACCAUUGGUUCUGGCUUUAGUUUGGCACUGCAAAUUGUGAGCGCUGCAAUCCUAACUUUAUAUGCCUUGGGGAUGUUGAUGGUCGUGAUCAUGUUUGAUUGUUGAGCCUAUGCUUUUUCCAGUGACAUCCUGCGUGUAUAACUGUGUUGGCGCUGAAGCUGCCCCUUCGUCAUCCUGGGUUGGCUCUGCAAUGUUGGUCCAAUGGAAUUGCCAAUGAUUUAGGUUGAGGGGGGAUGAUCUGCUUUGAGUCCUGUCAGUCAAGGUCCGCGUGCUGAGGAUUUUAUACGACCUAUUCAGUGCAUUUUUUAGCCUACUCAGUGUCAUUUUCAUGCCAAAUGGGAGCGCCAAUUAGACAUCUACAUUUAAUGCGUUUCUCAUCCUGAGGUCUCCACCCGUUUUCUUCUGUUUUGGAAGGGUCAUCUUUCUGCUGGGACCUGAUUGCUAGUCUGAUUAGAGCAGGAAUUUGUUGUGUGCAAGGGGUUCUGUGGUUGAGUAUUAUACAGUUUAUGUUGGAUUGAAACCAGGUUUGUAACUCAAAAUCAUUUUCCUUAAAUUAUCUUCUGUAGUCAUUCUUGCAUGUCAACUCUCUCCUUGAAGAUCAUGUUCCCCUUCCAUAUUUUUGGGUUUGUGUGCUGCAUACAUCCCCUUUUUUCUGACCUUGAUUCAUCCUGUCUCCAUAAAGGCUCUAAGAUGCUUACAUGUUUUUCACUUUGUUUAGUUCUUUAUCUUGCUACCAUUGUUGGUAUGAAAUCUUUUCUUUUCUUUCUUGUUUAUUUGGGAUUUAGACUUUGCUUUUUAGAAUGAGAUGGUGUUCUUUUAAUCGGCUCUGUGCCUCAUUCUUCGAUUUUGAUGAUUCUUAAAUAAACAGUGUUUUCUUUUUCCCUUUGGCUUCUGUUCUAUUGUCGUGGCUGUUGGUCUGCAGAGACUUUCUGACAGUUUUUUUCUUUAGUUUGUUCAUAGAUACUGCUCUUGCUCUUGUUAGAAGAGUCUACUGUCUUUUGUGUUGUUGUCGGUAGGUUUUUGUUUUAUCAGGGUUCUUACUUUCUUUUGUCUUACAUGUUAUUUUCUUCUACCCAUUCUAAUGCGUACAUUAUGCAGUCCAUAUUGGAAGUGUGAUUGGAGGAUGGUUUUGUUAAGAAAUUAUGGAUUGCUGUCUUUUUUUAGAGAGGGUGCUCUGCGAACUUAACUUUUUUUCCUCUAUUUACAUUCUAUUGCCGUAGGUUUUUCUGGCAUUUUUGUUUUUCUAACAGUUCUUUCUAACUGGGUUGCUUCAUAGGGAUUGUUGUUGGUUCUACUGUAAAAGCUUGCCUCUUUGUGUUUGUUGUUGCAAGUCUGUGUUGCUUUAUUUGACCUUUCGGCAUUAGCUUUCAAUUGAAGAUCCUUGUACUCUCUUUAUUUAUUGUAUAUUAUGUAUAGUUUAUGGAUUCCAUUGUGAAUUGUUUGCCUUUUAUAUCAUUCUUUGUUAUGCA